UACGUAGGGAGCAAGCGUUGUCCGGAAUCAUUGGGCGUAAAGCGCGCGUAGGCGGCCUCAUAAGUCCGUUGUGAAAGUCAAGGGCUCAACCUUUGAAAGCCGAUGGAUACUGUGAGGCUAGAGUCCGGAAGAGGCGAGUGGAAUUCCUGGUGUAGCGGUGGAAUGCGCAGAUAUCAGGAGGAACACCAAUAGCGAAGGCAGCUCGCUGGGACGGUACUGACGCUAAGGCGCGAAAGCGUGGGGAGCGAGCAGG
rnacentral:rRNA from 1 species